rnacentral:lncRNA from 1 species
CUCUUUGGUCACAAUCGAAAACGCGGGGGUUACUAUUCACUUUAAGGGCUUGUUUGGUUCAAGGGUGAAAUUGGAAUGGAUAAUGGAAUGGGAAUGAAUUGGAAUGGUAAUUGGAAUGGCCCACUCCCCCAAGACGUUUAGUUUAUUUGUGGAUUGGGAAUUGGAAUGAAUUAUUCACAUUUCAUUAUUUGGUUCGUAUAAACUAAAAAAAGUAUAGGAUAUUAUAAUACUAAUUUUACUCUCAAAUAUAAAUUUAUAUUAUUUAAAAUUUAUGAAAAAUAUAAUACUAUUCUCUAAUAAGUUUUCCAAAAAUAAUAUCAAAUUUAUUUUUAAAAUUUUUUAUUGAUGUGGGUUAGGGAUAGGGUUUUGAGAGAGGAUAAUUUUUUAUUUUUUUAUUUUUUUUUUUGAUGAGAAAGGGGUGAAGAGAAGGAGGGUGAGAUGGUCACAUGGGCUUCGAGAACUUAGUAAGCUUCUGGAAUAAAAUCUCAAUCCGGGCUAGAAGACCGGAAUCAAGUUGAAGGCUAAUGGGCCAUUUCCAUUCCAGUUCGGAAUAGGAAUCUCAAACCGAUUCAUGCGAACCAAACAAAAUUAACCGGAUUUGAUCAAACCGAUUCCCAUUCCAUAUCCAAAAUGGAUGAACCAAACAAGCCCUAAGUGAAAAGCAAAAAUCGCAUAAAAAUUUUAUUUUAAAUUAUUUUUUGCUGAAAUUGGAUAGGCAAGUUUAAAAUUAAAAUAAAUACAAUAACAUUUAAAAAGUCGACAAACAUAUAUAAAAAAAAAAUUUCAGUAUCACAAUAACCCUAUAAUAAAAUAACAAUAAAAUUGUGGGAUACUUAAGUGAAAGAUUUUGAACCAUAGAAUGGAAAAAGAAAAACACGCUAAAUGUAGAAUAAUUUAAUGUAACUUUUUGAAUCAUAGGAUAUCAAAAUAAAAAUGCACUAUACCACAGAGGGGGCAAUCUCAUGUUUAUCAUUAAAUAUUUCAUCAUAAAUGAGGCAGAAAAUUAAAAAAAAUAUAUAGUUUUGGCAGAACAUAUUUAGAGCAUUUGUAGUUCAUAAUUGGAAUGAUAAUGGAAAAAAGUAAUCAGAUUGAAUUGAAAUAGAAAAUGAAACGACAAAUCAUCAAAAACAAUCUUUGGUUCAUUGUUGGUAAGGAAAUCCGAAUGGACAAUUCAAACAUAUAGGAUUUUGAGAAAGAGGUUUUGGUUGACAGGAGGAGAGCGAUUAGGAGAGAGGUGGAAAGGUAUUUGCGAAAAAGAGUUUUCAGUGGUUUACUUUAAAUUGAGUCGAUUUAGAAUUCAAAAUCGGAUUGAAUUAUAAAUAGAUUAGAUCACUUUCAUUUUAAAGUGAAAUAAUAGAAAUUCAAUUCUUAUAAAACAAAUAAUAACUAAAAAAAUAGUAAAUUUUAUUUUAAUUUUAUACUUUAAAAUAAGUGAAU